rnacentral:rRNA from 1 species
AUGCAGCCCCCGAAAAAGGCAUUUUCUCGGUCCAAAAAGUACAUACGUGUUUUGGACCUGAGUGAACAUUCAGCUAAAGGCCAAUCUGCUCCAAGUAGCGUGGUGCUGCCACAUUCCACUAGUCAUUUGAUAAAGCUAAUUAGAUAUCUUGAUGCCACAGGCUUGCCGAUAACAUCACUUCCUGGGGAUUUUCAUGCACUUCAAACACAUGGAGACUCUUAUUUUUUCAUAUCACCAAUUAAGAUUGUUUGUAAGCAUUUCCGCACUAGUGUGAGCCUCAUGCAGUCGCACAUGGUUGUUGUAGCAGUCCUCGAUCCUCAUCCAAAAAUUUCCUUUGUUUGGUCGGCGCCGACCGUGGCAUCAAGAGAGAUGUUAAUCCAAGCUUCACACAAGGAAACAUCUUCUUGGGUCUUGUAG